UCAGAGAGUUUGAUUAUGGCUCAGGACGAACGCUGGCGGCGUGCUUAACACAUGCAAGUCGAACGGGGAUAGUUGAUAGAGAGCUUCGGCAGGAAAUUGAUUAAUUCGAGUGGCGGACGGGUGAGUAACGCGUGAGCAACCUGUCCCAGACAGGGGGAUAACACUUGGAAACAGGUGCUAAUACCGCAUAAGACCACGGGAUCACAUGGUUCCGGGGUAAAAGGAGCAAUCCGGUUUGGGGUGGGCUCGCGUCCGAUUAGCCAGUUGGCGGGUAACGGCCCACCAAAGCGACGAUCGGUAGCCGACCUGAGAGGGUGAACGGCCACAUUGGAACUGAGAGACGGUCCAAACUCCUACGGGAGGCAGCAGUGGGGAAUAUUGGGCAAUGGGCGAAAGCCCUGACCCAGCAACGCCGCGUGAGUGAAGAAGGCCUUCGGGUUGUAAAGCUCUGUUAUAGUUGACGAAGGAAGUGACGGUAGGCUAUAAGGAAGCCCCGGCUAACUACGUGCCAGCCGCCGC
rnacentral:rRNA from 1 species